AGCGAACGCUGGCGGCAGGCCUAACACAUGCAAGUCGAACGGACCCUUCGGGGUUAGUGGCGGACGGGUGAGUAACACGUGGGAACGUGCCUUUAGGUUCGGAAUAGCUCCUGGAAACGGGUGGUAAUGCCGAAUGUGCCCUUCGGGGAAAAGAUUUAUCGCCUUUAGAGCGGCCCGCGUCUGAUUAGCUAGUUGGUGAGGUGAUGGCUCACCAAGGCGACGAUCAGUAGCUGGUCUGAGAGGAUGACCAGCCACAUUGGGACUGAGACACGGCCCAAACUCCUACGGGAGGCAGCAGUGGGGAAUCUUGCGCAAUGGGCGAAAGCCUGACGCAGCCAUGCCGCGUGGAUGAUGAAGGUCUUAGGAUUGUAAAAUCCUUUCACCGGUGAAGAUAAUGACUGUAGCCGGAGAAGAAGCCCCGGCUAACUUCGUGCCAGCCGCCGCCGUAA
rnacentral:rRNA from 1 species